CGCCCUUCAGAGGGGGGAAACAGUUGGAAACGACUGCUAAUACCGCAUACGAUCUAAUCUCGGCAUCGAGGAUGGAUGAAAGGUGGCCUCUAUUUAUAAGCUAUCACUGAAGGAGGGGAUUGCGUCUGAUUAGCUAGUUGGAGGGGUAACGGCCCACCAAGGCGAUGAUCAGUAGCCGGUCUGAGAGGAUGAACGGCCACAUUGGGACUGAGACACGGCCCAG
rnacentral:rRNA from 1 species